rnacentral:lncRNA from 1 species
GAGAGGAGUGAAAACAAUUAAAAGUUGUACAUAAAUCAUCCUCUCUCUCUUGUUCCAAUAUAGAUGAAACAAGAUCAAAAAUCAAAUCUCUCACAUCUCAUUUCUCCCAAACAAAGUCUUUUUGUGUUUUAUGAAGCAUUUCUCAAAUGAAGAACAUAUUUUACUUCCUAAAAAUCUAGAGAGAUAGAUGGUUAGAGAGAGAAGAUCGGAGAGAGAGAAGCAAUGAGGAUCGGUGAGAGAGGCAGUGAAGAUCGGAGAAAGAUCAGAAGAUCGAACCGGUGUUCCAUACAACAUCAGACUCAGAUCUGGUUCAGAUCCGAAAUCCAAAAAGACGUUCCAGUUCCAAGAUGUUACCAGAUCUAAAAGAUGCUCCAGAUCUGGUUGAAGAUGUUCGAUGUUGAAGAUGAUAUUCCAUAUAAUGAUUCGAUGUUGAAGAUGAUCCAAAAGAUGUUUGAUGUUGAACAUGAUGUUCCAGAUCUAAAAGAUCCUCCAGAUCCAUAAGUAUGUUUGUUUUCAGGAUCUGCAACUUUUUUCAUUUUUUUGUUCAAGAAGAUGAAUGUUUUUUAGUUCUUGUUUUCUAGAUAUGUUGUUUUUUAUUACUGAUUUUUUCAUUUUUUUUUUGUGUAAAUUUGUUCUUAUAUAAACAGUUUGAUUUUUUUUUUCAUAUAUGAACAAAUGGAAACAAUUUGAUUUAAGUUCUUAUGUAUUGGAUUA